CUAUUUCUGGACUUUUGAUAUUCUUAAGAGGCAGCAGAUACCCACUGGAAUCCCUCGAAGCCUGGCAGCCCCCCACGGAGCAGAGGGGGCCCUGUGCAUGAGGUCUCCUUUUCAGCCUCAAAAUCACCAACUUCUCAUCAUUAAAACUGAGAGAGAGAGAGAGAGAGAGAGAACACCAAAGCCUCACCGUGGAAACACAUGAACACGAAUGAGCAGGU
rnacentral:lncRNA from 10 species